AGACUAUAUGACUCGCGUACUCUAACUCUUUGUAUAUCUAUGGUUAUAAUAGACAUUUAUUGCAGUCUCACAGUUGUUAGAAAUUUUGAGUUUUAGGACAUGUCUAAGAAUCAUCGAAAUGUUAAGGUUUCCUCGGUGCGUCAAUAUCUUCAAGAAUUCGUGGACAUGGCUGCAAGCGUUAGUGGAGAGGACAGAGUCGUUCCAUCAGGCGUAACGAUCAGUGGACAGUCCUGUGCGAAAUCUUUAGUUGCGAACAGUAUCUCCAAGCAUCGAUGAAGGUGAGAAUACGUGCCUGGUGACAUUGCAUCGUUGACACGGGAUACAUUGUCGUGCCCAAGUCCGGCAAUCUUUAUUUACGGACGGUCAAAUGAAACGCGACGUCACCAAUUUUUGCGUGGCACGUAUCUCUGGAUGGGAAAGUCCGUGGAGCGAAUUAAACACGUCGCGCCGCAAGGAUUUCGGUACGUACCAUCGUACAAUGUCGCCUGAUAUGUCGCAAUAAAUUUCUACCUAUAA